rnacentral:sRNA from 1 species
GGAAGCGAAGCCGGAGCUGCGGGCGCUUUUUCUGCCCGCGGUGUCUCAGAUUCAUUCUUAAGGAACUGAGAACUUAAUCUUCCAAAAUGUCAAAAAGACCAUCUUAUGCCCCACCUCCCACCCCAGCUCCUGCAACACAAAUGCCCAGCACACCAGGGUUUGUGGGAUACAAUCCAUACAGUCAUCUCGCCUACAACAACUACAGGCUGGGAGGGAACCCGGGCACCAACAGCCGGGUCACGGCAUCCUCUGGUAUCACGAUUCCAAAACCCCCAAAGCCACCAGAUAAGCCGCUGAUGCCCUACAUGAGGUACAGCAGAAAGGUCUGGGACCAAGUAAAGGCUUCCAACCCUGACCUAAAGUUGUGGGAGAUUGGCAAGAUUAUUGGUGGCAUGUGGCGAGAUCUCACUGAUGAAGAAAAACAAGAAUAUUUAAACGAAUACGAAGCAGAAAAGAUAGAGUACAAUGAAUCUAUGAAGGCCUAUCAUAAUUCCCCCGCGUACCUUGCUUACAUAAAUGCAAAAAGUCGUGCAGAAGCUGCUUUAGAGGAAGAAAGUCGACAGAGACAAUCUCGCAUGGAGAAAGGAGAACCGUACAUGAGCAUUCAGCCUGCUGAAGAUCCAGAUGAUUAUGAUGAUGGCUUUUCAAUGAAGCAUACAGCCACCGCCCGUUUCCAGAGAAACCACCGCCUCAUCAGUGAAAUUCUUAGUGAGAGUGUGGUGCCAGACGUUCGGUCAGUUGUCACAACAGCUAGAAUGCAGGUCCUCAAACGGCAGGUCCAGUCCUUAAUGGUUCAUCAGGUAAAGUCAUAAAACAUUCAUUUCAAUAAGAUGGGCCUAUACCACAAAUCCCAGGUGAUAUGAUUCCUACACCAUGCCUAAAUCUACCUGUUAAAUAUGUCAAUCUAACCUGUUCCUGGUUUGGAGAAGAGGUUUAAGGAAGUGGACCUUUCCCAGAUGUUCAAUAAGUUUGUCAUUAAAAACUAUAAUAUAGAACCUUGUAAUGGAAAGUAUAUUCGUUAAGAAAUACAUGUGAACUCAAGAAUUUUGAGGCAUCCUAUCAAUCUUCACUGCUAUACUAAAUAUUUUUUCCCAAGGAAUUGCUCAGGCCUGAAACAGUAUUCUUUAACAUUUACCUAUUGAUCAUAAUCAUUUCUUUGUGCUGCAUUUUGUAUAUCUUAGCUAGACUCAUGUAAUAAAUGAUCUAAAGUUCCAAACACUAUUUGGUACACUGUUUGAAAGUAUGGACCAUUAAAAAAUGAGACACAAUUAUGAAGCCUGAUCCUGUCUUGCAGCGAAAACUAGAAGCUGAACUUCUUCAAAUAGAGGAACGACACCAGGAGAAGAAGAGGAAAUUCCUGGAAAGCACAGAUUCAUUUAACAAUGAACUUAAAAGGUUGUGCGGUCUGAAAGUAGAAGUGGAUAUGGAGAAAAUUGCAGCUGAGAUUGCACAGGCAGAGGAACAGGCCCGCAAAAGGCAGGAGGAAAGGGAGAAGGAGGCCGCAGAGCAGGCUGAGCGCAGUCAGAGCAGCAUCGUUCCUGAGGAAGAACAAGCAGCCAACAAAGGCGAGGAGAAGAAAGACGACGAGAACAUUCCGAUGGAGACAGAGGAGACACACCUUGAAGAAACAACAGAGAGCCAACAGAAUGGUGAAGAAGGCACGUCUACUCCUGAGGACAAGGAGAGUGGGCAGGAGGGAGUCGACAGUAUGGCAGAGGAAGGAACCAGUGAUAGUAACACUGGCUCGGAGAGCAACAGUGCAACAGUGGAGGAGCCACCAACAGAUCCCAUACCAGAAGAUGAGAAAAAAGAAUAAGUGUUGCCUUGUUUUGUGUGUUCUAAAUACUUUUUUAAAUGAAAAAAUGUUUUUUGGUUUUAAUGGUGUUACGUGGUUUGUGUAUUAAUUUUUUUUCUUGUCCAUAUCACACCACCAAAGGCUUUUGGACCAUUUAGCAUCAUGAGCCUAAUGGCUCAGUCAGUCACCUUUCUUAAGUGUUGUGAAGAUGGCUCUUUUCUUUGGAUCUUGUUUCUAGCCCUCAACUGCUGAAAGCCUCAGAAUUUAGAUUAAUUGAGAAAACACCCACCUCUUUUAGAGAAUUAUCCUUUGAUGCUGCAGAAUCU